AAGAUUAAAAUAAAGAAGCCGCUAACUAUCUUUUAAGUGUUAAAUCACUAUAAUCUUA
rnacentral:tRNA from 1 species